GCCUAUCUUGCACUUAACCUGCAUCGAGACAACACGUCCUCUGUUUCAAGAUGAAGCUUAUCUCCUUCUUGAUGGCUAUGCUGGCGGCCCUGGCAUGCUUCCUGGGAUCCGCUCGCGCUAUGCCCGACGCCCUUGCCCUGGCUGACCCUCACCCCUUGGCUGGUCCUGACCCUGUGGCUGACCCUGACCCUUGGGGCUAUGGACGUCGUAGGUAUGGUUAUGGAGGCUAUGGAUACCGUCGUCAUUACAGGCACUGGUAGAAAAGGUCAUCCCCAGCUACAGUUACCUUGCAGAUGGUGUUAUUCAUCACAGAACAAAAUUAACAUUUCGAUAUCACUAAAUAAAAGCUUUUUAAUCCA